rnacentral:rRNA from 1 species
GACGAACGCUGGCGGCGUGCCUAAUACAUGCAAGUUGAGCGCUGAAGGUUGGUACUUGUACCAACUGGAUGAGCAGCGAACGGGUGAGUAACGCGUGGGGAAUCUGCCUUUGAGCGGGGGACAACAUUUGGAAACGAAUGCUAAUACCGCAUAAAAACUUUAAACACAAGUUUUAAGUUUGAAAGAUGCAAUUGCAUCACUCAAAGAUGAUCCCGCGUUGUAUUAGCUAGUUGGUGAGGUAAAGGCUCACCAAGGCGAUGAUACAUAGCCGACCUGAGAGGGUGAUCGGCCACAUUGGGACUGAGACACGGCCCAAACUCCUACGGGAGGCAGCAGUAGGGAAUCUUCGGCAAUGGACGAAAGUCUGACCGAGCAACGCCGCGUGAGUGAAGAAGGUUUUCGAAUCGUAAAACUCUGUUGGUAGAGAAGAACGUUGGUGAGAGUGGAAAGCUCAUCAAGUGACGGUAACUACCCAGAAAGGGACGGCUAACUACGUG